ACAAUUGUUAAAAGGACUAUAUAAAUAAAUUUGAAUUGAAUUAGGUGAUGAGAGCGCUGAAGAUGUAGAGCACCGGGACACUGAAGACAUCAUUCACGAUUCCUUUAUCAGUCCAUUGCUGCCUGUACUCUGUGUGCUUAUAUUACUAUUACUGCUGUUAAAUAUCUGUGUAUGCUGGACAGGAUUGAAAACAGGUUGUGCAAGAACCAGCGAAGCACAUUCAGUCAGGAUUCACAAUACUCUACAGAAUGAAAAACUGUUAAAUGAUAUUAAGGAGACACAUGAUGACUGGACUCUGGCAGAGGUUCUGUAUGCACAAAUAUAAAUCAUUUUUCCAGCAUUUUUUAUAUACAUCUGAGAUUGUAUUUAAUUGGCGUAUGUACUAUUGUGCCAGUAAUACAAAUUUAAAAAGUCUUGUGAUGUCUUAUAAUUUUAUUCUUUGUAAAACUAAAAAGUACAUCAGUGUUAUAUCAAUGAGCUGUUUAUGUAAAUAAUGACAUUUCAAUUUGAUCAGUCCAGAUUUAUUGUAAAUGUAGAUGCUACCAUCUAAAGCAAAUGUUGUAUUUUAAAUAUCACUCUGCUCAGAUUUAUUUUUCUGCAAUUUUAAGCAAUUUUAUUAAUAAAAGCAAACAGUGUUCAACUUCUAAA